CCUACGGGAGGCAGCAGUGGGGAAUAUUGGUCAAUGGCCGGAAGGCUGAACCAGCGACGCCGCGUGAAGGACGAAGGUGCCCAGCAUUGUAAACUUCUUUUGUCAAGGGACAAAAUCAGGCUCGAGAGCCUGACCGAGGGUACUUGAAGAAAACGCAUCGGCUAACUCCUGGCCAGCAGCCGCGGUAAUCCGGAGGAUGCAAGCGUUAUCCGGAUUUAUUGGGGUUAAAGGGUGCGUAGGCGGACUGUUAAGUCAGCGGUAAAAGCCCGGGGCUCAACCCCGGCGAGCCGUUGAAACUGGCUGUCUUGAGAGGUGGAGAGGUAGGCGGAAUGCGCAGUGUAGCGGUGAAAUGCUUAGAUAUUGCGCAGAACUCCGAUGGCGAAGGCAGCAUACCGGAGGCGAUCUGACGCUGAGGCACGAAAGCGUGGGUAUCGAACAGGAUUAGAUACCCGAGUAGUC
rnacentral:rRNA from 1 species